rnacentral:piRNA from 1 species
UCUCAUGCUUGGCCUGGGUCAGUUGGU